CCAAGAGGCGGGAGAACCAGACAUCGCCAGUUAACGUUUAAGGUGUCAGUACUAAGGAAUCCGACACUGACACACUACCGAUCUCAUAGGGAUGCCACUCCUGCUACUCGGGUGGUCGUUCCUGUAAACCUAAAUGCCACUGAAUUCAGGCAGGCACUACGGGACAAUAUUGCAGACAUACCUUUGCAGUUUGAUCUAUGCAAAGUGAAUGGACAGCGGCUCAUUCUUCCUCUUGAAGAGGAGACGCCCCAAGAAAUUAGAGCAAGAAACCUACUGGGUCGCUCCAAUCUUUAUAUCCGUCCAAAGAUUACAGAAGCCAAUGAGGACUCAACUGGUGGAGAAGUUGUGCAGUCUGAAAUGGCAAU